UUAAGCAUGGUCGACACUUUUGUGAGCCUGUUGGCGUACUUACGAGCAGCUUCGUCACAUAUCUCUUCCACUUCAGGCGAAGUUAAACCUCCUUUCUUUGUAAAAAAUUUCAGACCAUUGCGAGUGUAGGGUAAGUGAGAAGCCGUCAUCUGCAACACAAAUUACAUACAAAUUUACCAUAGUUGAUUUAACAUUCUUUUCAACACAGAUUUUAGUUGAGACUGCUUUUUUUACUCUACCAUGAUUGAAGCAUCGUAAGCAAAUGGUGGCAGCAAUGUGCUCAUAAAACAAGCUGGUGUAGUAGCAAGGCCCAUCUCAAAUGUCAAGCAGCCAGCUCGAGCAAGGCCUGCAAAUACUGCUACACUCAGAGAUGCUCCUGAUAUUCGAGGGUCUUUGCCAAGUGAUACUGUAACAUCUUCCACUGGACGUCCUCGUUCCUUUUCCAAGGCCUUGAUAAUCCACUCUCCGAAGCUCUCGGCUAUGGCUUCCACGGCUGGUGGGGUAAGGUCCACGGUUCGACCCUUUUCACCUUCCAGUGCAACCCCUCGAACAUCGGACCCAUUUUGAAGUCUCCUAAUCUUGUCCAUCUCUUCAUCAACAACCACUUCAUUAUAUUUCACUGCACCGCUAGAAGAUUUAACGCAUAUAACUACACUUGACUUUGACCAAAAUGAAAAUCUCAACGCUUUUUUUAGUGCAG
rnacentral:lncRNA from 1 species